AAGUCGUAACAAGGUUUCCGUAGGUGAACCUGCGGAAGGAUCAUUAAUAAUUUUUUUCAUCUAAUGAUGAAUAAAAAAUUAACCUUGUGUGCAAACAUUGCUUUGAAAGGAAGAAGGUGAAUACCUUCAUCCUAAAAACAAAAACACAUCAUCAAACUUUUAUAUAAAAACAAAAUAUAUUUAUAAUAAAAUACAACUUUCAACAACGGAUCUCUUGGCUCUC
rnacentral:misc_RNA from 1 species